rnacentral:siRNA from 1 species
GCAAAAAAAAAAAUGGUUAUUCUCAAGCUUUUGUGAUUUUUCUUAGUUAUCUUCUCAUUUAUAUCCAUGGAUGUACUACACCAAGAAGCAAUGGUGUUACAAAUCAUAGAGAUUCAUGUAUAUGAAGGUGAUGAAAUGAAGCAUCAAGAGUCAUCGUCGUGGUGACACAUGCAGUGACGUUAUCCUUUCUGAGCUUGUUCUUCUUACGUUAUUUUCUCAUCUUUUAGAAUUCUUGAACUAUUGUUCGAGUUUUCUUGACCUUGCAAGUCCGUAACACUUUGUAUAACCCUUGAGCUUGCGAGGUUACUUAAAAAUUCUUGUAUCUUUCCUAUCCCUUCUGAGCUUCUUUUUGUAAAAUAUCAACCCCUUCUCAAUGGUUGAGGUGUAUCACUGUUAUAUUAUAUAUAUAUAGGCUGAAAAAUAUUCUCUCC